UGCGUAGGUGGGUCUGUAAGUCAGUGGUGAAAUCCCCGAGCUUAACUUGGGAACUGCCGUUGAUACUAUAGAUCUUGAAUAUCGUGGAGGUAAGCGGAAUAUGUCAUGUAGCGGUGAAAUGCUUAGAUAUGACAUAGAACACCAAUUGCGAAGGCAGCUUACUACACGAUCAUUGACACUGAGGCACGAAAGCGUGGGGAGCAAACAGGAUUAGAUACCCUGGUAGUCCACGCCCUAAACUAUGGAUACUCGACAUCAGCGAUACACAGUUGGUGUCUGAGCGAAAGCAUUAAGUAUCCCACCUGGGAAGUACGAUCGCAAGAUUGAA
rnacentral:rRNA from 1 species